rnacentral:misc_RNA from 1 species
GCAGGAAAAGUAUAUACGCAAACCUGCGACAUAUUUUUCUUCUGUGUGCCACGUACGAAGGAGGGGUCUAGCGAGCUGGUGUACGGCCUCAGUCACGCUUGUGGAUCGCGCCACGCACGCAUCGACUUUUCUUUCGCCCUUGUCGCUGGGUCGCUCCCCCCUCCUUCCCUCCCCACCCUCCCUCCCUCCUGCUGAGCUGCCUCCCUCUUCCCCAUUGCUCUACUCGUUCAGGGAGGAGGAGGCCCCACAUCGGAAGGGGACAGUGCACUAGACAAAAGCAAGACCAACGACAGGAGACGCAUUGUCGUCUACGCACGCGCCUGCUACGUUUUUUUGUUCGUGAGCCUGUUCGCUUGCGACCCUGCGCAUUCGUGACACCUGCACAUCUGAAAGCCGUUCUCACGCUCAGGGGUGGGGCCUUCCCAGGCCGAUUCAAAAAGUGUUUCAGCUGUCGUUUUUUUUUUUGGGGGGGAGUGGAGGAAGGGGGGCGAGGUCUCUAUUGUUCACUUCUUUUUCGGUUUCUCGGUUGGCAUCCUGCCCCCGCCCUGCGCUCCUCGACUCGCACCCGCACCUCCAUUGUUCGAAAGAACGACGCACAUAGCGCGCACUCGUUGCUAGGCGUGGCGGAGGACGGUGUCAGCGACGGCGUAGGUGAGCGCUUGCACGGACUGCGUCCCGCGCGUGAUUUGUUGUUGUUGAGAGGACUGGCGCAUUCUGUUUUACCCCUAUUACUUGUGUCGUCUCUGCUCGUCUCUAGUGCGCCGCUGACGGUGCCUGACACAGGGGCAUGCAGGCGCAGGUUAAGACCUACUUCUCUCGCAAUCGCCGUCUUAUCUAUAGCUCUCCUCUCCACAAGGAGGUUAACUGCUUCUGUUUUGUUUCCUUGUACUUGGUGCCAGCGCCACCGCGACAGCUUGCAUUGCUAUUUCAUCUCUUGGGGUCCACGGGCGCCAAAGUCGCGCAGCUCAUCAUACGCGAGACCACAGAACAACAAAAAUGGGAGACCUGUACUUGGGUAUGAUGCUCAUCACCGCCACAACGGUGGGCAAGAUCAUACUGUGCGCCCUCGCGGGCAUGCUCGUCUCGAGGUACUUCUCUAACCCGAAAGAAACUCUGACAGGUCUCAGUUACAUUUCCGCGAGGGUGUUUCUCCCCUGUCUGCUGUUCGCAAACCUGUCCAUGAACGUGACGUGGGAGCAGCUGAGCAAAUUCUAUUGGGCACCGUUAUUUGCGCUGCUGCCGAUGGGGAUCGGCUUCCUGUCCUCGAUGCUGGUGCGUGCCGUUCUCAGAAGGGAGUACCACUUCGUCGUAAUCCUUGCCAGCUCCUUCCAGAAUGGCCUCACGUUCCCCGUGAGCGUGCUGCUUAACCUGAAGGGCAUCGAGUGGUUCACAGGGGCUGCCGUCGUGGACGCGCAGUCCUACAUCUUCCUGUACAACGUGGUCUGCUCGAUAGGGCUGUGGGCUCUCGGUGACCCCAUGAUCGCCUACGCGAAGACGAAGGAAGUGGAGUCUGAGGAGGCCAAUGAUGAGGAGUUGGUGGCCAGGCGGCGUCCGUACAGCAUGGAUGGGCGUGUCGACGGCGAAGCGGAGGGCAAGGAAAAGGCGCAGUCGUCGCCGCACACGGCAGCAGCGGCGCAGCAGGGCCAUGCCACCGCGCAUGAGCAACUCGAGUGGUAUCGGCCGGCGCAGGCAAGUGAUAAGCCGAUCAUGCUGCCACCAGGGUCCCCUGGGAUUCUGCUAGAUGAUGAGAUGCGCAUUACAAAUUCGAAGUUGAAGCCGAGGGACGAUCGUCUCAAGCGUCUGGGCCGGAUCGCUCUCACCUCGAUCCAGUCCCCAACAGUGCUGAGCAGCAUCAUCGCCCUCAUUAUCUCCCUUACACCGCCACUGCAGCGGCUGGCAAAGAGCCCUUUUGGCGAGCCCUUCGUCGGUGGCAUGGCCCUCGUCGGCAAGGGUGCCAUCCCGCUGCAUCUGGUGGUGCUGGGCUCCUCCGUCGCGGCCAGCCGCCCCAAGGCCCACCCGACAUCGUCGGCGAAGAGGGCGCAGGUGACAAUAUCGUCUCCCACCACAUCUGCCCCACUGCCGACGAGCGCAGACGGCACCGUCUUUGACGUGUCCGCGUCGCAGCCCGGAACAGGAGUCAACGCCCUUCGUUAUUGGAUCACCUCGAGGGUGCAGCCGCAGAUUCUCUUCACAUGCUGCGCAGUGGUGACGCGGCUCGUGAUUAUUCCGUGCAUCUGCUUCCUUGCCCUGCACAUUCUUGUGAAGGCGGGUCUCAUGCCAAGCGAGAAGCCAUUCUUGCUCUCGAUGCUGGUGGCCAUCAUAUCGCCUACCGCCAUCAACUCGACGCUGAUCUGCACCAUGCGUGAAUAUCACGUCCGCGACUACUCGCACAUGAUGUUUUUUAUGUACCUCAGCAGCAUCAUCACAUCCUCCGUAUGGCUUUUCUGCAUCCUCUUGUACUUGUCGGACUAGGCGCGUGGUAGUCGAGCGCCUGUGCACAAGAUGUGGGUAGGGAAACGCGGGAUAACUGCUGGUCCACUGACAUCUGUGCGUGUGAGAGGGUGUGCAUAUGCAAGGUCGAACCCCUUUGUUUUCGUUUUUGGAUGAGUGCAUUGCGCAUUGGUCGUGACCGGAAAAGGAAAAUCGUAUCCGUGGACGCGGCAUACACACAAAACAGCCCACGUGCGUAUCCGUGAAGGAAAGCUGGCACGCGUCUCCUCGGUUCACGCAUUCAGCUAUCUAUCCAUCCCAUGGCCAGGGACGUAGGGGUGAGAGAGGCAGGAGAAAGGGGAGAAGGGGGGUGUGCCGAGAUGGUCACAUCAGCGACAGCCGUGUACUUGUGUCGUGCUUGAUGUAGAUUGUCUCACUCACUCUAAGCUGCCUCUGGGCACGCGAUAUGCCGCACCGCCGGCUCACGGAUUUUAGCCGUGCACGCGGGCGUGCGUCUGUCUGCUUGUGCAUGCGAAGCCACCGCCUUCGUUGCUGAAGCGCGAAGCAGCGCUCUUCUCUGCUCAAUCGCGUGGAACGUACCCUCUCAUCACCAUCACUUGCGUCGCUGAUGACGAUGAUUUCUGCGUUGCUGUCCUGUCCCACUCUCCAUCCCUCUCUUGUCGUGCCGUCCACGGGGAAACCCUAACGCCGCUCAG